UUCCUCUCAGGGUCACACCUGGAGAGUUUCCAGUACUCUACCAGUCACAACUAUAGGAGGGAGAGUCAAGCAGAGGCAUAUCCAUUCUAUUCCUAGCUUGGGCAGUGACUAAUGAGUGGAAGGCAGUCUGCCACAAGU
rnacentral:snoRNA from 1 species